rnacentral:rRNA from 1 species
ACGAAUUGCAGAACCUCGUGAAUCAUCAAAAUUUUGAACGCACAUUGCGCUUUUGGGUCAUGCCCAAGAGCAUGCUUAUCUGAGUGUCCCUAA